ACACAUCAGAGUGUGUUUAGUUCAUCUGGGCUGGUGAGUUCCAGUGAUGAAAGCCUGGUGCUAAUGGAGGCGAGGUCACCGGUUCAAUCCUCAUAGGACCCAGUUCACUUACAAGAGAAAAAACACUACUCAAGAACCAGAGACACCUCCUGACCCCAGUCACUGACCACAAGAAGGAUGGGGUGAAAACGAUGGCUGACCCAGGGCAAAACCAUCUGAUAAACAACUCAGACAGCACACCCCCAACCCCCAGCAGGAGAAGCCAGCACCUUCUAGUUUAAGGAUUUUAUAAAACCGCUUUUAUAAAAAUCCCUGCGGACAAGUUCACAGUAGCUGACUCCCCAAGAUGAGACGUGCUGCUUUAGAAGGGGGCUGAAGAGCUAUGCCCAGACUGGAGCACGAGUCUGCUUGCUGGUGUGUUUCUCAGUCCAGUUUGAUUUUUUAAAGGUACCCUCCAUGGGACAGAACUCUGCUUACAAACUUUAAAACUGGAUGAUGCAAAAAUUACCUGCACAGCAGAGGAGGACAACGAACCAUAAAGGGGGCUCAAGAUCUGCAUAUUCAACAAGCUUCCCAAGGGAUUUUGAUGGAUUCAGAACCACCCUCUACAAAUCCCUUCUAACCACAACAAAAUGGAUGGGCUGAGUGUUCAUAUUGCCUCACCUUUCAUCAAAGCACCAUCUGGGAACCAGAACUUGGCAUUUGAGAAAAAUCAGAGAUGACUAAGAAUAAGAACAAUCUCAUCAGGAGAAGAGCCGUUGAUCUCCUGUUCCUCUUCUAGAAGAAUUGAGAACAGAAAGGAUCAUUAAACAUCACCUACUCCAAAUGCAUUCGUUUCCAGAACUCCACA
rnacentral:lncRNA from 1 species